rnacentral:lncRNA from 1 species
GCCCUUGACAUUUUUUGUAUAGGUCAGAACCAUGAUUCUGGACAUUUUGAAUAAUUACAGCAAUGAGAGUGUUCCCCGAAGAUUCACACUUAAGUAGUUGAAAAGUUAUGGCAGAAAUGAAAACAGCUACUCAAAACCACUCGUUUGGAAAAGCUAAAAGAAAAAUCUGAAAGAGUUAAAUAUAGCAGAGGAUUAGUGAUGGGAGAACAUUGAGUGUACUUAUUAGUAGAAGAAACACUUGUUGACACCAACUGAGCAUUGAAACUGUAUUCCUUGGAAAUAGAUCAUUAAAGAGAACUCAACCUAGAACAUCUAGAAAAGUCAAGCACACAUUUAAAACCUUAGACAUCUGCUGUCACACAAAGUAAAAAACUUAUAAAAAGGCAAUGAGAUUUGCUCUAUUACAUUCCACAUGACAGACUGUGGAUAGCUCACAUGAGUGAAACUGGAAUUGUUGAUAGUGGACACCCAUGGAGGUCAUUGGCAUACCAGCUCAUUUGCCAAGAGGAGUAUGAUACUGCCUUGCUCCACACAUGGGGCUAUUGCUAUAUAUCUUCCAUCACACCGUACGCUUUGCUCCCUGUUCACAGGAUGACACUUCUUUCACUAUUGCCAUUCUCAUUGGGAUCAUCGGUUUCAGCAGCACCUUUAGAGAGCUUACUAGCAAGCUGCCUAACUUGGGACAUUGCUCUGAGCUUGAUUAAAUUCAGCUGGCAUUAGAAAACUUUAUCCCAGAUGUUUAUUUGACAAAUGCUUAAC